UUCCUGCCAGAAUAUACAUAGGAAAAACAAAAGACCUAAAGAAAAUGAAAGAGUAGUGAGGACUAUCUUAGAGCUAGACUUUAUAGAAACAUGUGAUUAUAGUUUAAAUAUUUUUCUUUUUCAGUUUGACAUUCUUCAUGGUCAACAUGAAAAUGAAAUGGAACAAAUAUCAGGAGAUAUAAAGGAAGAAUUGAUUUCUCAAAACAACAAUGAUAAACUCAUCUGUGAGUUAGGAUCAGAGGGCACAAUUUACUCCCUGAAAUCCUGUUAACCACUCAUCGUUUUUGUUUUCUCCGUAGUUUCAGCUUAGCCACAAUAUCACUUACUUAAAAUCAUCCAGUUUAUCACAUUUCAGUUUGGCUUCUUUAACUUAGCAAUAUGAACAUGAGAUUUUUCCCCAUCUUUCUGUGGCUGGUAACCCUGAAUUAUUUGAACGCACAACAGAUUGUUUACCCAUUCACCUUUUGUAAAAUAUCUAUUGCUUUCAUAGCCUGGCUAUAAUAAAUAAAAAUGUUCUGUAAAAAUUUAUAUGCAGAUUUUUCUGUGGAAUUAAGUUUUCAACUCAUUUGCAUGAAUACCAAGUAGUGCUAUUAUUGCUGGAUCAUUUGAUUUAUUUAUUUUGUAAGAAUCUGCCAAACUAUCUUCCAAAAUGGCUGCAGCAUUUGCAUUCUGACCAGCAAUGGGUGAAUGUUCACUUUACAUUAUUGCCAGGAUAUUUAGUGUGGUUAAUAUUUUAAGUUUUAGCUAUUUUAAUAGUUUUAUAGUGGUAUAGUUGUAUGUCAUUGUAGUUUUAAUUUGUAAUUCCCCGAUCACGUAUGAUGAUGAACGUUUUUCCUAUGCUUAAAUUUCAUCUUCUUCUUUGGUAAGCUAUGUGUUAAUUUUUUGCUCA
rnacentral:lncRNA from 1 species